rnacentral:rRNA from 1 species
CCAGCUGAUCAGCCAUGCCGCGUGUGUGAAGAAGGUCUUCGGAUUGUAAAGCACUUUAAGUCGGGAGGAAGGGCUGUAGGUUAAUACCUUGCAGCCUUGACGUUACCGACAGAAUAAGCACCGGCUAACUUCGUGCCAGCAGCCGCGGUAAUACAC